GUCAGGAUGGCCGAGUGGUCUAAGGCGCCAGACUCAAGGAUAUAAACCUUCCCAUGGAUCAGAGCGUUCUGGUCCACGAAUGUGGGCGUGGGUUCAAAUCCCACUUCUGACA
rnacentral:tRNA from 1 species